rnacentral:tRNA from 1 species
GCCCUCGUAUUCCAACCGGCAGAGAAAGGCGACUCAAAAUCGUCACAGUGUGGGUUCGACUCCCACCGAGGGCACCA